rnacentral:ribozyme from 1 species
GCUGCUCUGAUAAUCACACACCUCUUCGUGGUGAGCAGCAGGCAACGAUUUAUGAUCGGCAAAGUGUGAGA